rnacentral:misc_RNA from 1 species
UUUUUUUUUUUUUUUUAAAUCAAAGAAUUAUUAAUAGUUGGAUAGAUAAAAAGAAAUGCACAUGGAGGCUUCAAAGACUCGAAAACUUCAUUAUCUUUGUAGGAAUAUGAAAAUGAGAACAAAGCAGAAUAAGAACAUCAACACAAAUACAAAACAUCUUUCUUCAUCUCCCACAUCACUAAUUUUUAACGACUAGAAAUAUUCACCCAUGCUAAUAUAGGCACUUUUUCAACUCUCUUCAGACUACUCAAACUUUGAAAAGAUUCUCCCACGUUCAACAGAAAGCAGAGAGAUAUU